AGAAAGGCAGACACAAGAGCAAGCCUGCGCGUGUGAAGGCAUCCAUAGCCAUGGACUCUCCGAAGGAAAUCAUGUUCUCAGACAUCACUGAAAAAGCAGCCACAGUCAGGUGGAGAGCACCGACUGCUCAAGUGGAGAAUUUCCGGAUUACUUAUGUGCCUGUAACAGGAGGUCCCCCAUCCAUGGUGACCGUGGAUGGGACGGAUACUGAGACCCGACUGGUGAGGCUCACCCCUGGAGUGGAGUACCACGUCAGUGUGAUUGCCAUGAAGGGAUUUGAAGAAAGUGAUCCGGUCUCGGGGUCUCUAAUCACAGCUCUCGAUGGUCCAUCUGGCCUUCUGAGAGCCAACAGCACGGACUCA
rnacentral:misc_RNA from 1 species